rnacentral:sRNA from 1 species
ACCUGUUGCGGGCGGUGUGAGUGCGCGCCCGUAACACCAGACAGAACACCGUGCCACGGGAACAACGGGGCACUUCAGGGCGUU